rnacentral:rRNA from 1 species
UUUAGUUUGRWUYCUGGCUCAGRGCGAACGCUGGCGGCAGGCUUAACACAUGCAAGUCGAGCGGGCRUAGCAAUAUGUCAGCGGCAGACGGGUGAGUAACGCGUGGGAACGUACCUUUUGGUUCGGAACAACWSAGGGAAACUUSWGCUAAUACCGGAUAAGCCCUUACGGGGAAAGAUUUAUCGCCGAAAGAUCGGCCCGCGUCUGAUUAGCUAGUUGGURRGGUAAYGGCUYACCAAGGCGACGAUCAGUAGCUGGUCUGAGAGGAUGAUCAGCCACAUUGGGACUGAGACACGGCCCAAACUCCUACGGGAGGCAGCAGUGGGGAAUAUUGGACAAUGGGSGCAASCCUGAUCCAGCCAUGCCGCGUGRGUGAUGAAGGCCCUAGGGUUGUAAAGCUCUUUUGUGCGGGAAGAUAAUGACGGUACCGCAWG